ACCACGUAACUCGUACAUAUAUAUACACACACGGUCGAUAUAUAAGUGUAUAUAUAUAUAUAUAUAUAUAUAUAUAUGUUUAUGACUUUCCAAAUCAGUGGAGCAAAGCAGCCAGAGAAAGAAAGGUGCGAGCAUCUCGGUUUCUUUAUUUUGAAAGCGUUAGAAAGCUUUGAUUCGCUCAGCUGGCUAACUACGUUGUUGAAAGUUGGAACGAUUUGUGAUAACGUCUUGUGUGCAACCUAAAUGAGAACGAAGACGAAAGGAAAAAAAAUAAAUAAAUAAAUAGAAUUGAAAUAGAUAGGCAAAUAAUGUAAUAAGAAUAUGUGGAUGAAAGAUUAUCGCGAAAAUUCAUUGUCACUUCUCGAUCAGGAUUAUCGAUUUUAUUUGUAAAGAAUGCUCUCUUAUCUAAAACUCAACAAACAAUUCUAAUAAGCAAGAAAUAUGCGAUAAGAUAUAGAUAUUAAAUACAAAAUAUACUCGUACGUAAUACGGAUAAAUUUUAUGAAAGAGAAAAAGAAAAUAUUAUAGACGAACUUUAAAUGAUUGAUGUCGAAUGUAAAUCAUAAAACCAUAUUGUAAGCCAAGGACGUUUGUGAAAAAUUCAAAUUUUUCCCGCGCGAAAUUGUCGUCCGUUUCCGUAUAUUUUCGUACGUUCUUUCGUAAGACGCGCGAAAAUCUUAAAUUUCGGAGAAGAUACAUGGACAACAAUGGAUUUAUUUUACAGUCAAGUCAGAAAAGUAAUUAGCCUCGGCCAUUCAAUGUAUAAUUACAUGGAAAAGCAAUUGUUUUUAUUCGAUAAGGAACGAUGAGUCAUUUCUUAUUUGCAGUCAUUCCUCUCGAGUUCUUACCUCAUCUAUAUUGAUGUAACUACGGCUAUUGUGUUGUAAAAAUAACAGAAAGAAUAUAUAAAAAAGAAUGAUUGGACAUGAAUAUUACAAAAAGAAUGAUUGGACAUCAGUAUUACUCGAACGUGAGAUGUGUAAUAUUUAUCUUUUUUUCUGUUUUUUUUUCCUUUUUUUUUGUUUUUUGAAAGGAAGAGAGAGAGAAAGACAGAGAGAUAGAUAAAAAGAAAAAAAGAAAUCGAAGAAAGAUAACGUGUUAAUCAAAAGAAAACGCGAUGGACAUAAUUUAUAAAUUUAUCGAGAACGAUUACGAAAAUACAUAUUGAUUCACUUGUGUCAAUGAAUACAAUUGAAAGAAGACACAUCAAGAAUGAUGAUCAGCUGAGGAAAAAGUAAUGUUUUUUCUGAAUUGACGUCAUCAGAGUUUGUCUGAAUGAUAGGUUUUACGAAAAUCGCAUUAAUGACUUCGUGGCAUGAACUUUGAUAUUUAUAAGGAUAAAAUGUUUCGAAAAUAAGCGAUUAAUAAGGAUCGACGUUAGAAGUAAAAAUCUAUAAUUUUUUUUAAGUUUUAUUUGGUUAUAGAUCUGAAGGAUUCCUUAGAAAAAUAUUAUUUAGAUGAGUUUUAUAUCACUAAGUUGAAAUGUAAUUUUUAUAAAUAAUAUAUAUACGUACAUGUAUACUCGAAGUUUCAGGUAGAAGUUCAUAAAAUUGCAUAAAAUUGUAUAGCAUUAUCCCCCUUUAUUGAAGUUCGGUUACAGUUCAAUUGCAAAUGUAGUUUCAGACAGAGAGAGAGAGAGAGAGAGAGAGAGAGAGAGAGAGAGAGAGAGAGAGAGAGAGAGAGAGAGAGAGAGACGAAUAAGAAGAAACAUUCCACUGACUUUGAAAAGCAUUUAGUAACACAUCGAAAAAAAAGAACAGAAUUUUCUAUUUGCGCUCUAAUUGCUUCGUAACGACCGUGAAUUCAGAGCCAUUCGAGAGUUUCUGCUAACGAUAACGAUAACGUUUAAAUGUGAUGUCACUCGAAAAGAGUCUCGAAUCAAAUUUAAAUUUAUGGAUAUUGAUGAAUCUCUACAUGGAAAGUAUGCUUGAAUAUCAAUGAAAUAAACGAUAUUGGAAAACUUUUCCUAAGGUUUUUUUUUUUUCUGAUAUGACUAUUUUCACAUCGGAUUCUUGUAUUUUCGUUUGAAAGUUUCAAAAAAGUUGAAGCCAAGUGAUAACUCAUAAUAUAAAUAAAGAAGUAAUUUUUUUCGCUCAUGGUGUAAGACAAAAAAAACAGAAAUAAAAAGGGAACGGAAAAAGUAAAGACAAAAAGAAAAGAAAAUAAAAUAAAAAGGAAAUGAAUGUUAAUUUUUUUAUGCAAAAAAUUACUUCACGUUCAAUUCCAUUGUUAAUAGUAAUAAUAUUCCAUUGCUAAUCAUGACACCUUUAUCAUCUUAUCUUUCUCUUGAAAUAUUUUUCUUUGCCAUCAUAUGUACUCACUAAUCAUAUAAUUCUAUAUUAACUGAAUUUUGAUUACCUAUUGGAAGAAAAAAAAUUUACACAUAUGUAUAUAUUUAUAAUUAUAAUUAUUCUAACCUUCUAUUAUAAAUUAUUAGACUAUAGAUAUUUAUAUGUAAUUACAGAACUAUAUUAACUAUUAAUUCUUAUUUUUAUUAGUGCAAAAAAGAAAAACACAUACACACACACACACACACACACACACAAAAUAAAAUCUCUCAUGAAGGACACGAAGGAAACGCACGAAGGAUCGAUACGAUAAGUCUUAAUAAUUUUUUUCUUGGUCAAUCGUUUAUAUAUCUCCUUCAAUUUCGUUUGGAAAUCCCAGCACGUAUACUUUCCGAACGUGAAACAAAUUUAGGUUAAGGCCUCGGCAGUCUCCGAAAUACAUAUACACAUACAAACGACCAACCAACCGGCUUCUCUCGUUUCUCGAAGCAAUAAAUAAAAUCAUGCGUAAGGUUACAAUCAUUACACGAAGUUAUAGUAUGGUUGAUUUAGGCAGCCAUAUCAUAAAUAACUUAAAAAUAACCUAUGAACGUGAUCCACCUUCGCAUAUUUAAAAGACCGACAAAUUAUCGAAAUAAAAUUAAGAAAAGUUGUCUCACUCCUAAGUACGAUACUUUCAUUCAAUUACAUAAUUUUAAUCGUACGAACAUCCUUUCUAUAAAAUAUUUUAAAUGCAUUAUGCAUAAUGCAUUCUCUUGGAAACACAUAUUGUAUUAUUUAAAAUUAUGAAACUAUGUAACAUGUGAAGGAUAAAUAACAUAAUCGUACAUAUCGAUAAUAAUCGAUUUUACGAUCUUUAAACGUAUAUGAAAGAUUUCCUUGUUUUAAGUUUUUUUUAUCAUCAAAAAAAAAAAAUAAAUAAAUAAAAAAAAAAAUAAAAAAAAAAUAAAAAAAAAACGUAAUAUUGUAUUAUCUAAAAUUACAAAACCAUUUGUAACGUAUUAGAAAAUACUUAAACUAUUUGUACUAUAUAAUUAUAUUGUACAUUGUCAGAAAUAUCGAAUAUGAUAAUAAUCGAUAAUACGAUCGUAUUGGGUCAGCUCGUUUUCCAAGGAAAUAUUUGGCGCGAAACUUGCGCGUCAAAGCGGCGUGUGACACGCGACUAUCGAACGGACCAAUAGCGUUGCAACGCGCCAUGCGAGAUUUAACGUGAAAGCGAUCAUGUGUAAGUCGAGAGUAAAUCGAUUGAUGCCAAAAGGAAUAAAGUCGUUUGAGAAAUAGAAAGAGAAAUACGAACGAAAUCGAUUUGUCGAAACGAUCGGACGAUCUGAUAAGAAAUGUCCGAAACAAAACUAAAAUUAGAACCGUUUUCAUAUAAGAUAUGAUAAGAUAUAUAUAUAUAUAUAUAUAUAUAAAACAUAAAGAAAGAAAAAUAAAAAAGAAAUCACGAUAGAAAACGUGGCAUGUAUUAGAUAUCGAAUGAACGGAACUUAGAAAAGAAAAGAGAAGGGGAGAAGAA